rnacentral:rRNA from 1 species
GAUGAACGCUAGCUACAGGCUUAACACAUGCAAGUCGAGGGGAAACGAUAGAGAAAGCUUGCUUUUUCUCGGCGUCGACCGGCGCACGGGUGAGUAACGCGUAUCCAACCUGCCCAUCACGUGGGGAUAACCUCGCGAAAGUAAGACUAAUACCCAAUGACGUCUCUAGAAGACAUCUGAAAGUGACUAAAGAUUUAUCGGCGAUGGAUGGGGAUGUGUCUGAUUAGCUUGUUGGCGGGGUAACGGCCCACCAAGGCGACGAUCAGUAGGGGUUCUGAGAGGAAGGUCCCCCACAUUGGAACUGAGACACGGUCCAAACUCCUACGGGAGGCAGCAGUGAGGAAUAUUGGUCAAUGGACGAGAGUCUGAACCAGCCAAGUAGCGUGCAGGAUGACGGCCCUAUGGGUUGUAAACUGCUUUUAUAAGGGAAUAAAGUGAGUCUCGUGAGACUUUUUGCAUGUACCUUAUGAAUAAGGACCGGCUAAUUCCGUGCCAGCCGCCGCAGUAA